rnacentral:rRNA from 1 species
GUAGGUGGCAAGCGUUGUCCGGAAUUAUUGGGCGUAAAGCGCGCGCAGGCGGUCCUUUAAGUCUGAUGUGAAAGCCCACGGCUCAACCGUGGAGGGUCAUUGGAAGCUGGGGGACUUGAGUACAGAAGAGGAAAGCGGAAUUCCAAGUGUAGCGGUGAAAUGCGUAGAGAUUUGGAGGAACACCAGUGGCGAAGGCGGCUUUCUGGUCUGUAACUGACGCUGAGGCGCGAAAGCGUGGGGAGCAAACAGGAUUAGAUACCCUGGUAGUCCACGCCGUAAACGAUGAGUGCUAAGUGUUAGGGGGUUUCCGCCCCCCUUAGUGCUGCAGCUAACGCAUUAAGCACUCCGCCUGGGAGUACGGCCGCAAGGCUG